rnacentral:rRNA from 1 species
UACGAAGGGGGCUAGCGUUGCUCGGAAUUACUGGGCGUAAAGGGCGCGUAGGCGGAUAGUUCAGUUGGGGGUGAAAGCCCGGGGCUCAACCUCGGAACUGCCUUCAAUACUGGCUAUCUUGAGUACGGGAGAGGUGUGUGGAACUCCGAGUGUAGAGGUGAAAUUCGUAGAUAUCGAGAGGAACACCGGUGGCGAAGGCGGCCAACGUGGACGAGUACUGACGCUGAGACACGAAAGCGUGGGGAGCAAACAGG